rnacentral:rRNA from 1 species
GACGAACGCUGGCGGCGUGCUUAACACAUGCAAGUCGAACGAAGUGGCGAACGGGUGAGUAACGCGUAAUCAACCUGCCCUUCAGAGGGGGACAACAGUUGGAAACGACUGCUAAUACCGCAUACUGACGUAGGGGAUUGCGUCGGAUUAGCUAGUUGGCGGGGUCACGGCCCACCAAGGCGAUGAUCAGUAGCCGGUCGGAGAUGAUGAACGGCCAGAUUGGGACUGAGACACGGCCCAGACUCCUACGGGAGGCAGCAGGGGGGAAUCUUCCGCAAUGGACGAAAGUCGGACGGAGCAAGGCCGAGUGAGUGAUGACGGCCGUCGGGUUGUAAAGCUCUGUUAAUCGGGACGCGGUACCGGAAUAGAAAGCCACGGCUAACUACGUGCCAGCAGCCGCGGUAAUAC